rnacentral:rRNA from 1 species
AGUGAACGCUGGCGGUAGGCCUAACACAUGCAAGUCGAACGGCAGCACAGAGGAGCUUGCUCCUUGGGUGGCGAGUGGCGGACGGGUGAGGAAUACAUCGGAAUCUACUCUGUCGUGGGGGAUAACGUAGGGAAACUUACGCUAAUACCGCAUACGACCUACGGGUGAAAGCAGGGGACCUUCGGGCCUUGCGCGAUUGAAUGAGCCGAUGUCGGAUUAGCUAGUUGGCGGGGUAAAGGCCCACCAAGGCGACGAUCCGUAGCUGGUCUGGGAGGAUGAUCAGCCACACUGGAACGUGGACACGGUCCAGAUUCCUACGGGAGGCAGCAGUGGGGAAUAUUGGACAAUGGGCGCAAGCCUGAUCCAGCCAUACCGCGUGGGUGAAGAAGGCCUUCGGGUUGUAAAGCCCUUUUGUUGGGAAAGAAAUCCAGCUGGCUAAUACCCGGUUGGGAUGACGGUACCCAAAGAAUAAGCACCGGCUAACUUCGUGCCAGCCGCCGCCGUAA